UGAGGAAUAUUGGACAAUGGGUGGAAGCCUGAUCCAGCCAUCCCGCGUGAAGGAUGACGGUUCUAUGGUUUGUAAACUUCUUUUGUACAGGGAUAAACCUGCCCUCGUGAGGGCAGCUGAAGGUACUGUACGAAUAAGCACCGGCUAACUCCGUGCCAGCAGCCGCGGUAAUACGGAGGGUGCGAGCGUUAUCCGGAUUUAUUGGGUUUAAAGGGUCCGUAGGCGGGCCUGUAAGCCAGUGGUGAAAUCUCAUAGCUUAACUAUGAAACUGCCAUUGAUACUGCAGGCCUUGAGUAAAUUUGAAGUGGCUGGAAUAAGUAGUGUAGCGGUGAAAUGCAUAGAUAUUACUUAGAACACCGAUUGCGAAGGCAGGUCACUAAGAUUUAACUGACGCUGAUGGACGAAAGCGUGGGGAGCGAACA
rnacentral:rRNA from 1 species